rnacentral:rRNA from 1 species
UAUAAGUAAAAAUUAUACCUAACCUUGUACGUUUGGGGUUUUAAGUGCUUCUUGUUCGUUGGUCGUUGGUAGUUUGGCUUGUUUGCCGCUACGAAAGAGGUCGGCUCAGUCUUAAAAGUAUUAGCUGGAUCUGUCUUUGAGACUUGGUUGACUUGGCGUAAUAAGUUAUUUCGCUGAGGACAAUCUUCGGAUUGGCCGAGUUUCUGGGACGUUUGUCCGCUUUCUAAUACAAGUUCUAGCUUGCUAGACAUGACUUUUUAUUAUCUGGCCUCAAAUCAGGUAGGACUACCCGCUGAACUUAA